CUGGUCCCGUGGGAGGAGGGCCCUCUCCCCCAUGCUGUCCUCUAGGGCUUACUGGUCUCUGAUGCCUUGAGACUUGCCUGGACUACUUUCAGGCAUAUGGCCCUAGUGCCUACGAGGCUGGUCCCACUUGGGUGUUCAGGUGCUAAGUUGGGACUUGCUGCUGGCACCCUGCUGCUGCUCCACAGGUUGAUUCUGCACCUUUGUGCUUUAUGAGCCACCAGAAACUCUCAGCUGCUUUCUCCAAACCCUGCUGGGCUGCCAUCCAGCACGCCCGUCUUGACAACUUCCUCAGCCAUUUCUGAACUACCUCCUGAAUGUGGGCCUUUGCCAUGGGGCUGUGAAAAUUCCUGGCCUUUACUGGCCUUGAAAAUCCUUACAUCCUAGGACUUCCCCAUGAGCCUGUCUGAACCCUGGGAGCCCCUCCUUCCACAGCUGAACCUUGGGGUGGAGUGGAGUGGGGGGAGGAUUCGCAAUUUGGCCUCUAACCCGUUUCUCUCUCUCUUACUCUCCGGAGAGAAUUGGACACAUUUCGUCUUCUUGUUGGAUGUCAGUAAAUCCAGAUCAUAUUUUCCUCUUUUGCUACUCUGUGACCUUUUCAUACAUCUCUACGCUCUAUCCCCAUUGAUAAACUUCAAGGUUUCACUCAGUAGUUCUCAACUGGAGGUGAUUUUGUCCCCUGGAGGACAUUUGGCAAUGUCUGGAGCCAUUUUUGAGCGUCACAAUUGGCGGAAGCUCCGCAGGUCGCAGUCCGACACCACAUCCAGCUCUUACACAGAAUGUAGAGCUGAGCUUUUCCAAGGCUAUUCAACAAGCACCUAUUGAGUACUUCCUGUUUACCAGGCAUGUUCUGAGCACCAGAGGUACCAAGGUAAACAAAACAGACACAGCUUUUGUCCUUUGGGAGCUCACAUUCUGCUGGAGAACCAUACAAUAAAUACAUAGCAGACUCCCGCGCUAUCGCCUGGCUCUGCCACUUAGUUGUGUGAUCUUAAGCCUGUUACUUAACCUCUCUGGGCUCAGUGUCUUCAUCUAUAAAAUGGGCUAUUAACAGUGCCUCCCACACAGG
rnacentral:lncRNA from 1 species